rnacentral:rRNA from 1 species
AAAAAGGAUUCCCCUAGUAACUGCGAGUGAAGCGGGAAAAGCUCAAAUUUGAAAUCUGGCGGUCCUUGGCCGUCCGAGUUGUAAUCUAGAGAAGUGUUACCCGCGCUGGACCGUGUACAAGUCUCCUGGAAUGGAGCGUCAUAGAGGGUGAGAAUCCCGUCUCUGACACGGACUCCCAGGGCUUUGUGGUAUGCUCUCAAAGAGUCGAGUUGUUUGGGAAUGCAGCUCAAAAUGGGUGGUAAAUUCCAUCUAAAGCUAAAUAUUGGCGAGAGACCGAUAGCGAACAAGUACCGUGAGGGAAAGAUGAAAAGAACUUUGGAAAGAGAGUUAAACAGUACGUGAAAUUGCUGAAAGGGAAACGCUUGAAGUCAGUCGCGUUGGCCAGGGAUCAGCCUCGCAUUUGCGUGGUGCACUUUCUGGUUGACGGGUCAGCAUCAAUUUUGGCCACUGGAAAAAGUCCUGAGGAAUGUGGCAGCUCCGGCUGUGUUAUAGCCUCUGGUCGCAUACAGUGGUUGGGAUUGAGGAACUCAGCACGCCGCAAGGCCGGGUUUCGACCACGUUCGUGCUUAGGAUGCUGGCAUAAUGGCUUUAAGCGACCCGUCUUGAAACACGGACCAAGGAGUCUAACAUGCCUGCGAGUGUUUGGGUGGAAAACCCGAGCGCGUAAUGAAAGUGAAAGUUGAGAUCCCUGUCGUGGGGAGCAUCGACGCCCGGACCAGAACUUUUGGGACGGAUCCGCGGUAGAGCAUGUAUGUUGGGACCCGAAAGAUGGUGAACUAUGCCUGAAUAGGGUGAAGCCAGAGGAAACUCUGGUGGAGGCUCGUAGCGAUUCUGACGUGCAAAUCGAUCGUCAAAUUUGGGUAUAGGGGCGAAAGACUAAUCGAACC